rnacentral:tRNA from 1 species
GCCCCCAUAGUUCAACGGACAGAACAGUGGCCUUCUAAGCCGCGGAUUGAGGUUCGAUUCCUCAUGGGGGCA